rnacentral:rRNA from 2 species
UCUGUUGGUAGUGAAGAAAGAUAGAGGUAGUAACUGGCCUUUAUUUGACGGUAAUUACUUAGAAAGUCACGGCUAACUACGUGCCAGCAGCGCGGUAAUACGUAGUGGCAAGCGUUGUCCGGAUUUAUUGGGCGUAAAGCGAGUGCAGGGGUUCAAUAAGUCUGAUGUGAAAGCCUUCGGCUCAACCGGAGAAUUGCAUCAGAAACUGUGAACUUGAGUGCAGAAGAGAAGUGGAACUCCAUGUGUAGCGGUGGAAUGCGUAGAUAUAUGGAAGAACACCAGUGGCGAAGGCGGCUCUCUGG